rnacentral:rRNA from 1 species
AUACGGAGGGGGUUAGCGUUGUUCGGAAUUACUGGGCGUAAAGCGUGCGUAGGCGGACUAUUAAGUCAGAGGUGAAAUCCCGGGGCUCAACCCCGGAACUGCCUUUGAUACUGGUAGUCUUGAGGUCGAGAGAGGUGAGUGGAAUUCCUAGUGUAGAGGUGAAAUUCGUAGAUAUUAGGAGGAACACCAGUGGCGAAGGCGGCUCACUGGCUCGAUUCUGACGCUGAGGUACGAAAGUGUGGGGAGCAAACAGGAUUAGAAACCCUUGUAGUCC